UGCAUCGCUUCAUUAUAAACCCUUCGAUGCUGAUUAUGACAGUGAUUCGAAGUGUCCAAAGUGCUCUCAAUUCAUUACAUACAUUAGUCAUAACCUUCAAGAAAUACAUUUUGGAGUGAUUCAGCUUAAUUGACAUAUGACCAAGUGAUUUAAAACCAAGUGAUUCAACCAAUGCUGAUAAAAACUUAUCGGAAAGGAAGAUACCAGUGUACUACUAUUCAUUAUGAGUGAUUUACAUUUGGAUCCUACUGACACAAAAAAAAACGAACAUCACCAGCUACAUCAUCAACUUCUUCAUUCCUCAUCCGGCAUUUCGGGCACAUGCAGCUCCCGAUAGUUCUUUUUAAACUUUUUGUUUGUAAUUUCAAUCGUUUUCUUGCUCAUUUACUCAUUUUCUUGAUUUGCUUGGGAACUAUGGAGCCUGCAAAAGUGAGCAGUUGUGUUGAUGUGUCACUGACAAAAGGCAAGGAUAGGUGUUUGCAUGCAUUAUAAACAGAACUUCAACAGAAACCGAGUGUAAAUAACCAAGUUCUCAUUAUUCCCAACGGCUUUUCCAAUUAAUGAGUUGUCUAAAGCCAGGUGGAUAUACAGUUUCUCAUUAAUAAAGUAAAAUAUGAUCAUGAAUUCUUUGUGGAGGCUCUGAAGAGGUGAAUUGGAAGAAUUGGCAAAUGAUCUUAAAGUCCUUGUGGAAGCUCUGGAGAGGUAUAAACGGAAGAACAUGUUACAUCCGUUGCGGCUGUGUGCAACAUCUUGGAGAUACACGCCCAGUUUAUGCGGGAAAAGGUUUAUGCACGUACGAAAUUUUCUAACAGAAAACCCUAAAGAAUUCUAGAGGAAUUUCUAUAGACGUUCUAUAGGACUUCUAUCGAAUUAUUUUCCACAAUAAAAAAAUGUGGAUCUCAUAUUUUUCGCCCAAUUUUCACAUCAAACAAUAACAAAAAAUCAUGCUAAACCCCUUUCUUUAGGGUAUCUUUAGGGUCCAUUAAAAAUUUUCGUACGUGUGGACUUGCUGUUUUUUGUAACUACGCACGUCAAAGGGUUUUUUUCUCUAACAGAACACAACGCUUCAUUUGUGGACGUACUCAUAAACGUAACAGUUAAUUGAACAAUCUUUCCACGAUAUUAUGCGGGAUGGAAAAACAAUAAUUGUUUCUUUUUUAGAUAUAUUUGGAUCUGGAACCUUCCACUGAAUGCUUGUAUCCAGCUGAGGACAUUUGAAAUCAUAUUCGCGCAAAAAUUCGUAUAAAAACCCAAUUUUCGUUCAUGAUGGAUAUUUUUUCCAAAUAAUUGUCACUCGG